rnacentral:rRNA from 1 species
UACGUAGGCAGCAAGCGUUGUUCGGAGUUACUGGGCGUAAAGGGUGUGUAGGCGGUUGUUUAAGUUUGGUGUGAAAUCUCCCGGCCUAACUGGGAGGGGUCGCCCAAGACUGGUGGUCUUGAGGACAGCAGAGGUGGGUGGAAUUCCUGGUGUAGUGGUGAAAUGCGUAGAUAUCGGGAGGAACACCAGUGGCGAAGGCGGCCUUCUGGACCAGUACUGACGCUGAGGUGCGAAAGCGUGGGGAGCAAACAGG